rnacentral:rRNA from 1 species
UGCAGUCGAGCGAACUUUUGGGAGCUUGCUCCCAAAAGUUAGCGGCGGACGGGUGAGUAACACGUGGGCAACCUGCCUAUAAGACUGGGAUAACUUCGGGAAACCGGAGCUAAUACCGGAUAACAUAUGAGACCACAUGGUCUCAUAUUGAAAGAUGGCUUUUAGCUAUCACUUAUAGAUGGGCCCGCGGCGCAUUAGCUAGUUGGUGAGGUAAUGGCUCACCAAGGCAACGAUGCGUAGCCGACCUGAGAGGGUGAUCGGCCACACUGGGACUGAGACACGGCCCAGACUCCUACGGGAGGCAGCAGUAGGGAAUCUUCCGCAAUGGACGAAAGUCUGACGGAGCAACGCCGCGUGAGCGAAGAAGGUCUUCGGAUCGUAAAGCUCUGUUGUUAGGGAAGAACAAGUACCGUUCGAAUAGGGCGGUACCUUGACGGUACCUAACCAGAAAGCCACGGCUAACUACGUGCCAGCAGCCGCGGUAAUACGUAGGUGGCAAGCGUUAUCCGGAAUUAUUGGGCGUAAAGCGCGCGCAGGCGGUCCUUUAAGUCUGAUGUGAAAGCCCACGGCUCAACCGUGGAGGGUCAUUGGAAACUGGGGGACUUGAGUGCAGAAGAGGAGAGCGGAAUUCCACGUGUAGCGGUGAAAUGCGUAGAGAUGUGGAGGAACACCAGUGGCGAAGGCGGCUCUCUGGUCUGUAACUGACGCUGAGGCGCGAAAGCGUGGGGAGCGAACAGGAUUAGAUACCCUGGUAGUCCACGCCGUAAACGAUGAGUGCU